UGAGAACGUUCCCUGUAGUCAGAUAUAUCAAAACAUACGAGAUAUUAUCAGAAUAAAUGGUGCACAGCUUGCAUUGUACACCAGAUGAAAUCAACAUUAUCUAAAUAAACACAACCACGAGAUUCAUAAAGUGCAAUUUAUUUGGAAUCAGUGUCGCUUAAACAUCAUCACGUGACUGUGGUGUUUUAUACUGCGCUGGAUAAUGAGCUCCAAACACGCGAAACCCAAUGAAAAGGUUCCUGCAUGCUGCUGGAGAACAUGAGAAGCGCGCGGUGGAGAUAUGAACAUCGGCUGACGCGCGCGAGGUCUGUAAUGACGCGUCCUCAUCGUAUGGCUCCUCAUAACGUGUCAUAAGCGCCGCGAGGGGCUCCAUGUUUGAGCUCCACUGCUGCUGGAGUCAUGAGAGGCUCUGUGGACCUUCCUCCUGUCUCACUGUCUCAUCGCAAACUCUUGUGCACCCUCUGGUGCUUGCUAGACUCCAAAACUUCUUUGUGUUGCCUGCUUAGCAGAUUGUCUUCCUUGUCUCUGAGGCUGCUCAUUAUUCAGAGACAGCCGGAGCUCAGGUCAUCUGCAGCUGCCGUUCUGAAGAAGAAGAAGAAGAAGGAGGAGAAGAAGAAGGAGACGCGAGAGGGAAGAUGGCGAACAUCCUGCUGCUCUAGACCGGGAACAAGUUCGCAGAAGAUCCAGGAUCCAGCCAUGUGUCUGGAAGCGUUCAGCGCUCUGUAGACGGUCUGUUCCUGUAGAGGCCGAGCGCAGAGGCAGGACAAGGCGUCCUUUGAGAGCGAACAGCGGCGGUGUUGUGACCGAGGUGCCAGUGUCCAAGUCUGAUUAAAUAUUGAAGACGCUCUCGUCGGAGAGUUAAUAUCAAUGGAUCGUGUGGCUACAAGAGAGUUUGGUUUGGUGCCGUCGAGUCAAGCUGAGAGUCUCCGGAGAGGGACGCGUGUGAAUGUGGACACGGGACAUUGGCAUGUUGUGUUGCUAUUUAUAGAUGUGAGUUCUUGGAGUCUGUCGGUUUGAGAUCCUUCAGCUCCACGGUCAUGGUUCAUGUUCAGACUCUGGUUUUUCAUGCAUAGUAUUAUUCUGCUACUUACUCUUGAGUUUUCUUGCAUUUUCUCAGAGUUUUAAAGGAGAAGCUUCGUAAUUCUUUUCAACUGCAUUGAACAGAUCAUGAUCAGAUGAGAGAACCUCAUGGAUGAUGGAGAUAUUGCAUAAUGUAAUCACACAAAUGCUUGAAUGAUUAACAAUCAACAGCCUGUUAAACUGAUUAUCCACGAGUGCUUUUAAUGCAUAUUAAGCAGGUAUUGUGUACAAUAAGCCUUAAAAAUUUUACAUCCAUCUUGCUCACUGUAUGAUAUGUCAGCCAACAUGCUCUUUCCAUGUGGUAACCUUUACUAAAAUACUCUAACAUUCAAUAGUUUGGAGUCGGUGAGAUUUUUUUUAUUUUCUUUUAAAGAAGCUCACCGACCGAGGCUGCACUUAUUUGAUCAAAAAUGCAGUAAAAAUGUAUUUCUGUGAUGCGCAGCUGUAUUUUCAGCAUCAUUACUCCAGUCUUCAGUGUCACAUGAUCUUCAGAAAUCAUUCUAAUAUGAUGAUUUGCUGCUCAAGAAACAUUUCUGAUUAUUAUCAGUGUUGAAAACAGUUGUGCUGCACAAUAUUUUUGUGGAAACCUUGAUUCAUUUUAUUUUUCAGGAUUCACAGAUGAAUAGAAAGCUCAAAAGAACAGCGUUUAUUUGAUAUUGAAAUCUUUUGUAACGUUCGAAAUGCCCUGAGUGUCACUUUUGGCACAACUGGCACUCAGUCCACUGUUUCCAUUCAAAGUGUUUUUGGAUGCUGAUACAAUGUAAGCAUAAAGGCACGAAUUUACACCAAGAUUUGUUCUGAGGUGCAUAAUUAUGGCUGUUAAAAGUAGUAAAGUUUCAUUAUGUUUGUAUGAACUGAGGAUUAUUUCCUGUAAACAUUAGUUUCAAUGCAAACUCAAUGCAAACAUUUCUCAGACAUGUUCUUGCCUUUUAUUUAUUAUUUCAAAAUUAUGACACAUGCAGGUUUUCUUUCAUCAAGCAGUACAGCUGGACAGAAUAAUGCUGUGCUGCAGAGGACUCAAAACUCAAGUGGACAUUUCAAACGAGGUGGUUUCUUCAGUAAACACUUGAUUUUUAGUCAAAGCAGUAUUUGCUCUGAACCCCCCCCGGCUCUUGUUGUCCUCCAGCGGGGAACAGUCCUUCAUUAGGAGAUCCAAACGGAGGAACAUCUCUUUGCUCGAGUGUGUCUUCACGCUUUGAUGUUCUUUGAUGGUAACGCUCACUGGCUUGAGAAAACCUCUCGAAUCAGGCCAAAGACAGAAAGAGAGCAGCGGAAUUGGAACCGAAGGUUUCCUGAGGGAAAACGCUUCCUGGUUAUUUUCCAGUGUUUUGGUCCUGAGCGUUUCAUUCUUUUCCUCUCACAGUCGCUCCCAAAGCUCCGAUGGCCUCAUUGGAUGCUGAAGCGUGAACAUUUGUACAGUAACUUUGUUUAAUGACACUAUUUGUAGCAUCUUGCACUCUGGAGUGGAAUGAGCUUUGAGUCUUUUAAGAUGAUUUGGGUUCGAGUAAAUAAUGACACCGUUUUUGUGUGAAGAACACACGUUACACGUCCUUAAUCUAGCGCGCAAAUGAAAUAUCCGUACGUUUUUGGCGAUCGUGUUAAAGUGCUUGUGGAAAGCGUGAACUUGUGAAAUGUAGGAUCUCCAAGAGUUUCAUCCAUCAUCAUUAGAUAAAGCGUUCCCACGCCUGAGGCCGGCAAUUACUGAAGCUCAGCGAGGAUGAAGUAUGUCUUUUUCAAUAAUGCAGAGCUGAGACUGUGUCUUAGACUUUGGUCACAAGUUUUUCUUUUCACUGAGACAUUUGUUUGAUACGCCGCAGAGCAGAUAUCAGAUGCACAUUGUGGUUUUAUGAGAAGCAUGUCAGUCACUCGUGUGUGAAUCUGAUCAAACACACAGGGAUUUUUGGAGUACGUUUAACAAUAAAAUACUAUUUGAGUCAUGCUACUCUUGAAUACAAUACUUGCCGUUUCUUUGUAAUCACUUGUGAAAUGUACUAGCAGUUUGAGUGAAAAUUGUUUAAAUCCUAAUUUAUUUAUUUAUUUAUUUUCAGUGGAAUUGUUUUGAAACGGCAUUGAUAUUUUACUGCUCAAAAGGCGUUGCAGUAUGAACUCAAACGCCUCCUAAAAUGAGACGGUAUUCGUCACAGCAGCUCAGAUGGUUCAAUAUUAAGAUGUUGCAGAGGUUCUGAGACGUUUGUUUCAGAAGACACCAGAUCUCACGCCUGGUUUUGUGCUUUCGGCUGCUGUUAGUUUUGCCUUCGCAGCACGAGAGCCGCUGGAGGUGUUGGUUCUCGUGUGAUGCAUGUGUCAGUCUCUCGAGAAAAGGCCGGCAGGGUUUGAAGAGUCCGAAAGAUCUGCAGCCGUUGCCUCGAGGAGCACAAAAUGGUGUAUGAGCAGUGUCAGCUGUGAAACUGAGUCUCUGGCGCUGACGCUGGAGAUAAUUCAGUCAGGAUCAGUGGAGCGAGGUGACUCUUCAACCGCAGCGUUUCUCAGAAGCGUCAGCUGAACAUCUCUGAUCCUGCUGUCUGCUUCUGCACUCAGAUGAGGAGGAAAGCUUCCAAACUGUGUUCCCGAAGAGCCUUUCAGUGAACACUACUUGUUUUAUAGUUAGUCUGAAGAUCAUUUUACUGAUCUGGAGAACCUUUUAUGCAAUAGAACGAAUCUGUGGAUGUUAAAGGUCCUCCAUGAAACCAUCGAUGCCAGUAAAACCCUUUAUUUUUAAGAAUGUAGACAUCCUGUUUUCUGAUUAUAGUUCUGGUUUGUGGUGUCCUGUUCACUGGAAAUAUCCCCACUUUAAAACAGCCCGCAAAUACACUGAAAAAGCCCAAACAACAUAGUACAAACAAUUUAUUUGAUAAAAACAUGAAAUUUUAGUAUUAAAUACAGUUGGAUAAUGAUAAACGUAUGUUAAAUCUGUUCAAACACACUGUAGAAAAUUUAAAUAAAAUAAAAAUAUUCAGUGUAUUUGAAUGUUAAAUCCAGCUGUAUUCAUUAUAUUUUAUUUAAUUUUUGUAAUUUGUUUUUGUAAAGACAUUUUGUUAUACUGUUUUAAUCUGUUUUUACUGUUUUUUGGUCACAAUUUACUAUUUUUAAUUGUGUGAUUUAUUUAUUCGUUUUUUUAUUUUUUUAUUUUUUUAUUGAUUUUGUCUGUUUUGCUCACCAAAGCUGCAUUUAUAUAUAUAUAUAAUUAAUUCACAGAUGUUCUUUAUUGGAAUUUUGAUGAUAUUUUGAUUAUUGAGCUGUGAAAUGACCCCAAAAAACACAAUAUUUAAGACCCUAUGAAUGGAUUUUUUUUUUUCUUGAGAUGUCAUGUGAGAUUAUUAAUGCUGUUCUACAGUUGUGUUUCCUAAAAAACACUACAUUUAUUUUCUCCAUUGUGAAAAGAAUGGCUGUGGAUUCGAUGAUGUUUGUGUUUGUCUCAGUUUUCGCUCUCCUUGAGAGUUGAGCAAGAGUUAAGCGCUGGCGAGUGGUUUAUGUUGCAACUACCGACGUGAGUGAUCGUCACCCGAUUACAGGAGACUCAGACGAACUCGUUUAGCAGUUCUGAAGUCAUACUCAGUGUUAGAGCUGAACAACCCUUUGAGAUGAUUUCCUAUACAUUAGCAGUCUGAUGAUGAUGUUUCUACAGAAAGAUGUCUGUUUAUUGUAGCUCUGGACAAUAAAAUCUCACGUUAGUACCAUGGCCUUCAUUUGCUCAAAUCACUCUGAAAACAGUAUUUUUUGUAGGUCAAGCUAAUGUAGGCCAAUGAAGGGACUGUUGAUCUUUUCUCUUUGUACUUAUAGCCACCAUAUAGAGUGUUAUGAUUCCUCCCAUUGAUUUGUGUACAUAUA
rnacentral:lncRNA from 12 species